rnacentral:rRNA from 1 species
AGGGUUUGAUCCUGGCUCAGAACGAACGCUGGCGGCAGGCCUAACACAUGCAAGUCGAGCGAACCUUCGGGUUAGCGGCGGACGGGUGAGUAACGCGUGGGAAUAUGCCGUUUGGUACGGAAUAGCCUCUGGAAACGGAGAGUAAUACCGUAUGUGCCCUACGGGGGAAAGAUUUAUCGCCAAACGAUUAGCCCGCGUUGGAUUAGGUAGUUGGUGGGGUAAUGGCCUACCAAGCCGACGAUCCAUAGCUGGUUUGAGAGGAUGAUCAGCCACACUGGGACUGAGACACGGCCCAGACUCCUACGGGAGGCAGCAGUGGGGAAUCUUAGACAAUGGGGGAAACCCUGAUCUAGCCAUGCCGCGUGAGUGACGAAGGCCUUAGGGUCGUAAAGCUCUUUCGCCAGGGAAGAUAAUGACGGUACCUGGUAAAGAAACCCCGGCUAACUCCGUGCCAGCAGCCGCGGUAACACGGAGGGGGUUAGCGUUGUUCGGAAUUACUGGGCGUAAAGCGUACGUAGGCGGACUGGAAAGUUGGGGGUGAAAUCCCAGGGCUCAACCCUGGAACUGCCUCCAAAACUAUCAGUCUAGAGUUCGAGAGAGGUGAGUGGAAUUCCGAGUGUAGAGGUGAAAUUCGUAGAUAUUCGGAGGAACACCAGUGGCGAAGGCGGCUCACUGGCUCGAUACUGACGCUGAGGUACGAAAGUGUGGGGAGCAAACAGGAUUAGAUACCCUGGUAGUCCACACC